UGAGGGAAAGUUGAAAAGGACUUUGAAGAGAGAGUUCAAGAGUACGUGAAACCGUUCGGAGGUAAACGAGUGGGCCCUCGAAGUGUGAAGGCGGGGGGACUCAGCCGAACGCCGUCGAGCCCGCCGGUGCGUCCGCGCUUCCCUCCCGGGACGCGGCGCGCCGGUGUGCUGGCUCCGGCUGGCGGCGCAUUUCCUCCCGUCCUCCGACGCCGCGACCGGUCGGGCGCGCCACGAGCAGUCGGCCUUACUCGCGGGAAACGGAAGGUAGCCGGGUCGGCGCGCACGCGCCGCCCCCCGGUGUUCUAGCCGUCCCGCAAUCGAGUCAGCCGUUCGCCCGACCGCAGGAACCAAGGCCCUCAGGGGCCCCGCCGUGCCCUCCCCUAGUCUGGGGAUCGCUCCGCGUCUCGGAAGGGAUGCCGCUCUGUCCCCGCGCCGCACCUCCGGUGCGCGUGGGGCGGCGGCGCCCGCUGGCCGGGACGCUUGCGAUUCGGGCGCCGGCGGUCCGCGGCGAGUAGGUCGGUCACCCACUCGACCCGUCUUGAAACACGG
rnacentral:rRNA from 1 species